rnacentral:rRNA from 1 species
AGAGAGCGGCGUACGGGUGCGGAACACGUGUGCAACCUGCCUUUAUCAGGGGGAUAGCCUUUCGAAAGGAAGAUUAAUACCCCAUAAUAUAUUGAUUGGCAUCAAUUAAUAUUGAAAACUCCGGUGGAUAGAGAUGGGCACGCGCAAGAUUAGAUAGUUGGUGAGGUAACGGCUCACCAAGUCAGUGAUCUUUAGGGGGCCUGAGAGGGUGAUCCCCCACACUGGUACUGAGACACGGACCAGACUCCUACGGGAGGCAGCAGUGAGGAAUAUUGGACAAUGGGUGAGAGCCUGAUCCAGCCAUCCCGCGUGAAGGACGACGGUUCUAUGGAUUGUAAACUUCUUUUAUACUGGGAUAAACCUACCCUCGUGAGGGUAGCUGAAGGUACAGUAUGAAUAAGCACCGGCUAACUCCGUGCCAGCAGCCGCGGUAAUACGGAGGGUGCAAGCGUUAUCCGGAUUUAUUGGGUUUAAAGGGUCCGUAGGCGGAUCUGUAAGUCAGUGGUGAAAUCUCAUAGCUUAACUAUGAAACUGCCAUUGAUACUGCAGGUCUUGAGUAAAGUAGAAGUGGCUGGAAUAAGUAGUGUAGCGGUGAAAUGCAUAGAUAUUACUUAGAACACCAAUUGCGAAGGCAGGUCACUAUGUUUUAACUGACGCUGAUGGACGAAAGCGUGGGGAGCGAACAGGAUUAGAUACCCUGGUAGUCCACGCCGUAAACGAUGCUAACUCGUUUUUGGGUUUUCGGAUUCAGAGACUA